rnacentral:rRNA from 1 species
AUACGGAGGAUGCGAGCGUUAUCCGGAUUUAUUGGGCUUAAAGGGAGCGUAGGUGGGAUAUUAAGUCAGCUGUGAAAGUUUGGGGCUCAACCUUAAAAUUGCAGUUGAUACUGGUUUCCUUGAGUACGGUACAGGUGGGCGGAAUUUGUGGUGUAGCGGUGAAAUGCUUAGAUAUCACGAAGAACUCCGAUCGCGAAGGCAGCUCACCGGGCCGGAACUGACACUGAUGCUCGAAAGUGCGGGUAUCAAACAGGAUUAGAUACCCUGGUAGUCCGCACAGUAAACGAUGAAUACUCGCUGUUUGCGAUACACUGUAAGCGGCCAAGCGAAAGCGUUAAGUAUUCCACCUGGGGAGUACGCCGGCAACGGUGAAACUCAAAUGAAUUGACGGGG